UACGUAGGUGGCAAGCGUUGUCCGGAUUUACUGGGCGUAAAGAGCGCGCAGGCGGUCGAUCAAGUCGAGUGUGAAAGCCCCCGGCUCAACUGGGGAGGGUCAUCGAUACUGAUCGACUCGAAGGCAGGAGAGGGUAGUGGAAUUCCCGGUGUAGUGGUGAAUGCGUAGAUAUCGGGAGGAACACCAGUGGCGAAGGCGACUUCCUGGCCUGUUCUUGACGCUGAGGCGCGAAAGCUAGGGUAGCAAACGGGG
rnacentral:rRNA from 1 species